GUGCCAGCAGCCGCGGUAAUACGUAGGGCGCAAGCGUUGUCCGGAAUUAUUGGGCGUAAAGAGCUCGUAGGCGGUUUGUCGCGUCUGGUGUGAAAACUCAAGGCUCAACCUUGAGCUUGCAUCGGGUACGGGCAGACUAGAGUGUGGUAGGGGUGACUGGAAUUCCUGGUGUAGCGGUGGAAUGCGCAGAUAUCAGGAGGAACACCGAUGGCGAAGGCAGGUCACUGGGCCACUACUGACGCUGAGGAGCGAAAGCAUGGGGAGCGAACAGGAUUAGAAACCCUUGUAGUCC
rnacentral:rRNA from 1 species